rnacentral:lncRNA from 1 species
AAAAAACCAGAAAAAAAAAAUAACCGAAAAAACCGAACCGAAAAAAAAACCGAAUUAACCGAUUAAAAAAUCAUAAAAAAAUUCCGGUUCGGUUCGGUUUCGGUUUCCAAAGUUUGAAACCGAUUGAACCGAACCGGUUCAACCAUUCCAGCAUUUAAAAAAAAACCAAGUAUAAAUAGAAAAAACCCUAGACCUAAAGUGCAGUUGACGCCCCCCUCUCUUUUCUCUACCU